rnacentral:rRNA from 1 species
CCUACACAUGCNAGUCGGACGGCAGCAGGACCUUCGGGAUGCUGGCGAGUGGCGGACGGGUGAGUAAUGCGUAGGAACCUAUCCUUUUGUGGGGGACAACCCAGGGAAACUUGGGCUAAUACCGCAUAAGCCCUGAGGGGGAAAGCGGGGGAUCUUCGGACCUCGUGCUGAAGGAGGGGCCUACGUCCGAUUAGCUAGUUGGUGGGGUAAAGGCCUACCAAGGCGACGAUCGGUAGCUGGUCUGAGAGGACGACCAGCCACACUGGGACUGAGACACGGCCCAGACUCCUACGGGAGGCAGCAGUAGGGAAUCUUCCGCAAUGGGCGCAAGCCUGACGGAGCAACGCCGCGUAAGCGAAGAAGGCCUUCGGGUUGUAAAGCUUAGUCACUCGGGAAGAGCGGAUGGGAGAGGGAAUGCUCCCACCGAGACGGUACCGGGAGAGGAAGCCCCGGCAAACUACGUGCCAGCAGCCGCGGUAAU